rnacentral:snRNA from 1 species
AUCGCUUCUUGGCCUUUUGGUUAAGAUCAAGUG